rnacentral:rRNA from 1 species
AGGACGAACGCUGGCGGCGUGCUUAACACAUGCAAGUCACGGGGGCCCGCAAGGGCAACCGGCGAACGGGUGCGUAACACGUGAGCAACCUGCCUUUGUGUGGGGGAUAGCCGGGCUAACGCCCGGGUAAUACCGCAUACGGUCGCUGGGGGAGUCCCUCGGCGAAGAAACCUCCGGGGCACAGAGAGGGGCUCGCGGCCUAUCAGCUCGUUGGCGGGGUAACGGCCCACCAAGGCGACGACGGGUAGCCGGCCUGAGAGGGCGACCGGCCACGACUGGGACUGAGACACGGCCCAGACUCCUACGGGAGGCAGCAGUGGGGAAUAUUGCGCAAUGGGCGAAAGCCUGACGCAGCGACGCCGCGUGAGGGACGACGGCCUUCGGGUUGUAAACCUCUUUCAGCAGGGACGAAGCGAAAGUGACGGUACCUGCAGAAGAAGCACCGGCCAACUACGUGCCAGCAGCCGC